UGGGGAAUAUUGCACAAUGGGCGCAAGCCUGAUGCAGCCAUGCCGCGUGUGUGAAGAAGGCCUUCGGGUUGUAAAGCACUUUCAGCGAGGAGGAAGGUGGUGAACUUAAUACGUUCAUCAAUUGACGUUACUCGCAGAAGAAGCACCGGCUAACUCCGUGCCAGCAGCCGCGGUAAUACGGAGGGUGCAAGCGUUAAUCGGAAUUACUGGGCGUAAAGCGCACGCAGGCGGUUUGUUAAGUCAGAUGUGAAAUCCCCGGGCUCAACCUGGGAACUGCAUUUGAAACUGGCAAGCUAGAGUCUCGUAGAGGGGGGUAGAAUUCCAGGUGUAGCGGUGAAAUGCGUAGAGAUCUGGAGGAAUACCGGUGGCGAAGGCGGCCCCCUGGACGAAGACUGACGCUCAGGUGCGAAAAGCGUGGGGAGCAAAACAGGAUUAGAUACCCUGGUAGUCCACGCUGUAAACGAUGUCGAUUUUGGAGGUUGUGCCCUUGAGGCGUGGCUUCCGGAGCUAACGCGUUAAAUCGACCGCCUGGGGAGUACGGCCGCAAGGUUAAAACUCAAAUGAAUUG
rnacentral:rRNA from 1 species